rnacentral:lncRNA from 10 species
GCAGCUGCCAUUCAAGAAUGAGCCUCCUCAAGAGGGGUCAUAGAGGACCACUUGACCUGUCUCAACCAGAGAACAAGUGGGGCCAGGAUAUUCUACUCUGUAAACCUCAGAAGCCUCUAAACACAGAUGUGACAGCAUCUUCGCAGGCCCUGCAGGCCUGAUGCUGACAGUUCGGCUGCAAACACUCACUGGGAGUGGAUGGCACCCAUCGCUUUACCAACCAUUUCCUCAGCGAGUGAGCAAAUACACACAUCAGCAUUCUGGACCCUACCUUCAGAGGUUCUGGCUUGUCAAUCGGGGGUAGUCAUUUUAACAAGCUUUCCAAGUGUUUUUGUCUCAUUCCUGUUUGAGAACCACCCACCCCUUCUUAGAGAUGGAGAACACAGAGGCCCAAGCUCUCACGGGGAAUCAGCAUCAGACAAGAAGCUUGCCUCCAGCUCUCCAGAUGCCCAAGCCUGGGCUUUCCAUCAAGAACUGUAAAGAGGCGGCUCUGUAAAGUGGAGAUGGCUUUGGAGUGAGAUUAACCAGGUUUAACACCUAAUCUUGUUACUUAUUGCUAUGUGCCCUUAAAUAAAUUACUUAGCCUUUCUGGGACCCAGCCUCCUCAUCUUACAGUCAGUGAUACAAACACCUGCCUCUCAGGUUUAAAUGAUCUCAUUGUGCAAACCAUUCACAUAAUCCCUACCACAUAGUAACUGGUAAAGCUAUUAGUAGAUACAUCCUGCAUUUUACCAGGCAAGAAAAGUAGGCACCACAUAACUUCAAAAUCUCUCCAUACAUUGCUGAUGGCUGCAUCUGUGACCUUCCAACACAGUGCUCCUCAGUCAGGAAGAACAAGUGAAUUCAUUUGUUCAUUAAAUAUAGUACAAUGAUAUUGAU